UCUUAUUUCAAUAUUAACCUAGUACGUAACCAAACUGGGUGUAUAAAUAAGACACGCUUUCCCUCUUCUUCUCUCUCGACACAACUUCUCUGUUACGUUUGAUCGACGAGAAAAGGUAGUGAACGAAGAAGAAGAAGAAGAAGAUGAGUCAACCUCCAGUUGGUGUUCCUCCUCCUCAAGGUUACCCUCCGGCUCCAGGAUAUCCUCAGCAAGGGUAUCCUCCGCCGCAGGGAUAUCCUCAGCAAGGAUAUCCUCCUCCUCAGCAACAACAAGGAAAGUCGGGUCCUGGUAUGAUUGAAGGAUGUCUAGCUGCUAUGUGCUGUUGCUGCGUCUUGGAGGCUUGCUUCUGAGUUGGAAUCUUGAAGCUGCGAAGUUGGAUUGGAUUUGGAUUGUUUGUUGGUUUAUUUUCAUUGAUCAUCUUAUUAUUAUAUAUUUCUCUUUCGUUAUAUAUAUGUUUGU